AGGCACCGCAUCCUUUUCCUAUAUUCAGUCCCAAUAUCUUCUCCAUCGUGUUUUCCAUCCUUUUCCUGAGCGUUGUUCUCCUGAUUUGCCACGUUUUUGAGUCUUAUCAUCUCGAUGCUCCUUCUGGCUCUCUCUCUCUCUGUAUCCCCCUUCCCUUCGCCAUCUCUCUUUCCUACUUGUGUGCAUCAUCUAGAGUCUAGACGACGCAACCACUAAGAGGAUGAAAAAUAGGCAAAAUAAUUUCAUCAUCUUCCUCUUGUGCUCUUCCGUUGCGCUUGGAUUGGUUAAUAUUGAUUUUUCUGUUCAAUUGGCAGUGUGCUGGGUUGGCAACCGAUGAUGGGGAUUAGGGCUCUUUGUUUCUAGCUUGCGUGAUCCGUGACAAUGUUCACCUACAAAGUGAUUAUAUACUUCGUAGCUAAUCAAGUUUCUUUGUGGCAUGGACGGACUUUUCCCGUGAUAAAAAGAUGGAAAGGGAGCUAUCAGGGAGGUAGAGCAGUCUCAAGAUGAUGACAGCCGCCCAGGUAACAGUCUGGACUCAGAGCCGUUUAUAUCUUGGAUGGCUCGAUCAUCUUGUCGAGUAAAGUCUUUUUCUUCCAGGCCAUCGAAGAAACAGAAAUCGUUUCAGUUAUCUACCCCUGUUGUCUCAUCACUGCUACAUGCCAAAACUGAGAGCACAAACUGGAAUUUAGGUUCCUUGAACAACAGUAAAGGCAAGCCAGAUUGUAAUCUUUUAUUCCCUGACAAACUGAUGGAUCUUAGCAAGACUGAGAAUUCUUUUGUCGGAAGUCAUAGCAGCUACAAAAGUUUAUUGAAGAAAAAAAGUAUGAUUUUAAACUUAGAAUUACCAGGGGUUGUCUUAAUCUGUAUAGAGCUACUUCUUGGCAUCAAUGCACAAAUAAAUGAAUCAGCAUCAUUCUUGAUCUUUUCAAGAUUGCUUUUCCCAUUGAGGAACUCCUGAUGAUAAUCAAGAAUGUUAAAUAUGUACUCGGUGACUGAUAGCGUACAUAGUGAAAAUAUAUUUGUACACA